GAGUUUGAUCCUGGCUCAGAUUGAACGCUGGCGGCAUGCCUUACACAUGCAAGUCGAACGGCAGCAUGAUCUAGCUUGCUAGAUUGAUGGCGAGUGGCGAACGGGUGAGUAAUACAUCGGAACGUGCCCUGUAGUGGGGAUAACUAGUCGAAAGAUUAGCUAAUACCGCAUACGACCUGAGGGUGAAAGUGGGGGACCGGCAAGGCCUCAUGCUAUAGGAGCGGCCGAUGUCUGAUUAGCUAGUUGGUGGGGUAAAGGCCCACCAAGGCGACGAUCAGUAGCUGGUCUGAGAGGACGAUCAGCCACACUGGGACUGAGACACGGCCCAGACUCCUACGGGAGGCAGCAGUGGGGAAUUUUGGACAAUGGGCGAAAGCCUGAUCCAGCAAUGCCGCGUGUGUGAAGAAGGCC
rnacentral:rRNA from 1 species